GUGAAAGUAAUUUAGAAAAAUAUUUGCUUUGCAAGCAAAAAACUUAGGUUUAAACCCUAACUUUUACA
rnacentral:tRNA from 1 species